AAGUUACCCAGAGUGGACAUGCUGGCGUGGCAGUCACCAGAUGGGAAUAACUGGGAACACAAGUCCAUUUGGACAGCCCUUUAGUCAAGCUGGAGGGCAG
rnacentral:sRNA from 1 species